GACGAACGCUGGCGGCGUGCUUAACACAUGCAAGUCGAACGGAAAGGCCCUGCUUUUGUGGGGUGCUCGAGUGGCGAACGGGUGAGUAACACGUGAGUAACCUGCCCUUGACUUUGGGAUAACUUCAGGAAACUGGGGCUAAUACCGGAUAGGAGCUCCUGCUGCAUGGUGGGGGUUGGAAAGUUUCGGCGGUUGGGGAUGGACUCGCGGCUUAUCAGCUUGUUGGUGGGGUAGUGGCUUACCAAGGCUUUGACGGGUAGCCGGCCUGAGAGGGUGACCGGCCACAUUGGGACUGAGAUGCGGCCCAGACUCCUACGGGAGGCAGCAGUGGGGAAUAUUGCACAAUGGGCGGAAGCCUGAUGCAGCAACGCCGCGUGCGGGAUGACGGCCUUCGGGUUGUAAACCGCUUUCGCCUGUGACGAAGCGUGAGUGACGGUAAUGGGUAAAGAAGCACCGGCUAACUACGCG
rnacentral:rRNA from 1 species